rnacentral:lncRNA from 1 species
UGUUUCAACGAAUAGUGAUCGUUUUUAAAAUUAGUAAAUAAUUUAAGUUGGUUAGUAAAUUAGACCAAGACACAAACAUGGAGUUUCGGCACGUACCGAAAUGUAAAGUAAUGAAUUUAUCAAUACUUUUACCUUUAAGAUUAGCUAUGUUAUAGAAUUUUAACAUUUUUAUCUGUAUAUAUUUCUACGAUUUAGUGCUUGUGCAUAACAAAACGGACUCACCUUGCUCGAAAUCCCACUUCCAACUCAUCUUUGGUGAGCAGGGGACGAAGGGGACUAACGGAAUGAGUACUUAUACUUGUAAAUAAUUGAACAAAUUAUAAAUAAAUAAGUAGUAUAGUAUUUUACCUGAGUUUACCUGUCAAAAAAAUGCGCGCAAUUGUAAUCAAAAACUGCGCGCAAACGUAAUGAUUUUUGCGCGCAAAUGUAAUGGUAAUGCGCGCAAACGUAAUGCACCG